CAGUAGCCACGGGAAUACGUAGGGUGCAAGCGUUAAUCGGAAUUACUGGGCGUAAAGCGUGCGCAGGCGGUUUGUUAAGACAGAUGUGAAAUCCCCGGGCUCAACCUGGGAACUGCAUUUGUGACUGGCAAGCUAGAGUCUGGCAGAGGGGGGUGGAAUUCCGCGUGUAGCAGUGAAAUGCGUAGAUAUGCGGAGGAACACCGAUGGCGAAGGCAGCCCCCUGGGCCAACACUGACGCUCAUGCACGAAAGCGUGGGGAGCAAACAGGAUUAGAUACCCCUGUAGUCCCUGUCUCUUAUAC
rnacentral:rRNA from 1 species